UGGAGAGAGGAUGGAGAGAUGUGUGUGGGUAUAUUUAGAAGCUUCUGACUUCUACAGCACAAAGGAAAAUGCAGCAUCAGGAGGGGCUGAUUUUCAGUGGAGAAGUGUGCUUAACCCUUCCCCUGCUCAACACUUCCAACACCAUGGCAUUUUUUAAAAGAUCCUCUGUCUGUUGGAAAAAGUCAUUCACCUUGCUUCCUUGUUCAUCUCUCUCGGUAGUAUUGAAUACCCGGUACUUGGAUUCGUGUGUAAGGAAUUCACAGAUAUUUGGCACCGGAAAGACUAUUUGUUCCAUAGUUCUAUCAUGACGGACAAUCUGCAAAUACAUGUUUCUCACUCAGAUGCAUACAAGGCUUGAAUAUCAUAUAUAAAUCCCUGCUUCUUCUUGUAGGGGAGGAGGAAAGGGACAAAGAAGAUGAUAGAUACAGCUAAAUUCUAUCGAUCUUCCAGACAAGCUAGGACAAUGUUAUCUGGCACAGUUACAGUUUGUCUACAAAUAGGAAAAAGGGAAAUAUUAAUUUCGAGGGGGCAAAGAGGUUGAUGUUCUUUAACAGAUAUUCUGCAAGCUUCACUUUGGGGGAUUUUCAACUUCAGUGCAUAUGAAUCAUUGCUCUCCAAAAUCCUAAGCCUCCUUCCAAAGGAUGACAAAUGUUUAGAAAACAACUUAUCCCCAAACAAAGCAAACCUACUACUAUUUUAAUUGCAGAAAAACACAACAGCAAAACAGUACAACAUUAAACAUUACAAGAGGAGUAAAGUGAUAGAAAAGGCAUCAAACAAUAUAUCUUAAUAAAUCUGUACCCAGGUUUGUGCCAUGAACUAGAAGGGCUGGUGCACACAUGCAUCUCACAUGCUGUGAGAUCUGGGAGGGAGCCUUUGCCUCAUGCCCUCCACAUACAGAGCAUGAAGUGGAUCCAUGGAUCUACCUGUAUGUGCCUAUAUGUAAUGAUGGUCACUACUGAAAAAGGCAUGAGCAAAUUGCUUGAAUGGUGCCUGCAGGUGGUACCUGUAUCACGUUGUGUUACACUGACUGACCUAUUUCACACAUAAUGCAACGCCAAACUAUGGUUUAAUGUAAAUAAGCAAACAUGCAAAGCUCAGCCGUGUUUUGACUUAGCAUUACGUCCAAACCCAGACUCAUGGUUUAUCUCAUUCCAGACAAACCAUGAGCAGUAAAACCAACGUUUGUUCUUUGUUUGCCACUCAUGGUUUGUUCAAGAGAGACAAACCACAAGCCUGGACUCAAAUAUAAUGUUAGGGUAGCAUGGUAGCAGCAGGAUUGGGGGAGGAGCACAAUGGCCAUGAUCUCUCUAGGAAGCCGCAUGUUUGCUUGUUUGUGCUAAGCCAUGGUUUGACUUAGCAUUAUGUGCAAAAUGGGCCACUGUAUAUUGUAAGGGGACAGAUGAGCUGGAGAUUCUCUCAGGGACCUCCUGUGUGACUGGCUAUAUUUGUAUGCAAUACUGAUUCACGGUUUAGCACUAUGUGGACAAACUGCAGCAACUCCAAGCAAAGUAUCAAGCUCGCAUGCUGCCCUCUCCUGCAUGGCCAGGAGGACUUCUGCCCUAGAAGCCCUAUCCUGUUCACAAGCUUCAGGACUAAGUCUACCCAAAAACUUUAGAAGUGUGGAUCAAGGUUCAACACCUGGAACUCAACUCUGCAAUGAAAAUGGAAGCAGAGGAAGGACAUAUAUUAUUAUGCAGGAUGAAGUCCUUCUCCAUUUAGUUUAUUUGUUUAGUUGCCAGGACAAUUUUUUUCUACGAUUACCAUUCAGAAACUGAGCAAAAAGUCUCAGCAUUUUGCCAUCCAAAUACUUAAUGAAGACGAUUGUGACAUUCCAGGUUCUACUGUCAACACCUGAAAUUUAGGAGGUUUUGAAAAAUUGCUUUAGUUUGGGCCCAGAUUGAUAUACAAGGUAAUCAAUUAAAAUGACCUGGGUAAAUGCUGCAUUCAUUCUACACUGAUAGCAAAUGUUUCAGAUCAAUCAUGAUAAAUGGGCUCAACACUUUGUCAGCUGUUCAAGCUUCUUGAUACAGGUUGUGUUUAUUUGAAUAAUACAUUUGUUUGUUGUGGCAGAAUUCCCAUGUAAACCUGUUCUAGGGUCUUCAAAGCUCCAGUCCUAGGAAAGCAGUCCAUUUCCAGAUGUUUAGCAUAAGAUCCUCAUUUUUUCAUGUUCAAAGCAACUUGCUAUAGACAUAUGAAUAUAAGAAUAGCCUUUCUGGAUUAGACAGGAUUCUUAAAAGAGAGAUGGCUGAUUUCUACAUUCAAGGGGAGGAACAUUACUAUAUUUUCCAGAAGUCCAAAGGAUGGGGUGGGAGUGCAUUGACUAUAAACAUUUUCCAUUCAGUGAACAACGCUUUACCUCAAUCUGGGCUGUGUGAUUGGCGUAGUGCUUCAAAGCUUCAUCUCCUUCUUCUGGAUCAGACCCAGGCUUCAGCAUGUGCUGCAAUAUUUUAUUGUGGCGAGCCAACUGGAAAGAAUAGGGAGGAAACUAUUUGAUUCAGUCCCUGGCAGAAUGCUUUCAGAUUGUCCCAUCUUUGCUUGACACACAAACACUACAUGCUCAGUAAGUAUGUCUCAUUUCAAUCAACAACAACAAAAAUAUGCU